CUGGCUAAACAUUCAAACAUGUUUGUCAAACAUUGCGUUUGAUGCAAAUGUUUGUACUUUUAGCCA
rfam:Nematostella vectensis strain CH2 x CH6 NEMVEscaffold_22_Cont4091, whole genome shotgun sequence.